rnacentral:ribozyme from 1 species
UCGAAAGAAAGAAAAGAGAUAAAAAAGGAAAACGGAGGAUCAUAUAUGUAAUAUUAAAUUUCAGGGUGUUCACUCGAUCAUUUUGUUUGUUUCGUUUUGUUUCCAAUGAUUUUAUGAAUAUAUAU